rnacentral:rRNA from 1 species
UACGGAGGGCGCGAGCGUUGAUCGGAAUUACUGGGCGUAAAGCGCGCGUAGGCUGUUGUGUAAGUUGGGGGUGAAAUCCCACGGCUCAACCGUGGAACAGCCCUUGAUACUGCGCGACUUGAAUCCGGGAGAGGUUGGCGGAAUUCCAGGUGUAGGAGUGAAAUCCGUAGAUAUCUGGAGGAACAUCAGUGGCGAAGGCGGCCACCUGGACCGGUAUUGACGCUGAGGCGCGAAAGCGUGGGGAGCAAACAGG